UUUCUUGCUUCCUUUUACUAAUUAAACACAUGUGAGACUGCAGAUUCCGUGUCUUUGAUGAUACAGAGGAGGCAGUGGAGGUAUUGGAGGAGGAGGAGGAUGAGGAUGAGGAUGAGGAUGAGGAUGAGGAUGAGGAUGAGGAUGAGGAUGAGGAUGAGGAUGAGGAUGAGGAGAUGGUAUUCUUGUUCUCAUUUGUUUUUUACUUCAUUCUUUUUAGCUCCAAUCUAAUAAUAUAUAUUCUGUGACAUUGAUGCAUAUUAUUUUUAGUUGAAGUUGGGAAUGAUAUGCUUUCUGUUAUACUUUAUUGGAUCUAAACAUUAAGCUACUACUUCAUUGAUUUGUCAUUGGAAGUUUUCUUUCUUACACUGUUACACAUAACUCUAUGGACCUUAGUCCUUCAUAAUCAGUUAUGUAUUGACUUACCAAUAACUGUUCUUAGGAACUUGAUGUUGGAAAUAUAGCCUCAUUGAUUAUGAUUUUAUCUAUGGAUAAAGUCAGUUUGUUUAAUACUUGUUUCUGUUUCUUUUCUUUUUUCUUUUUUAUUUUAAUGAUUUGGAAUUUCAUGUCUCAACUCAUUGGCAAAUUUUGCAGGAUCCUAACACUGAGGAGUUAGUUGCAAAUUGGCGAAAAAAUUGUUCACGCUAUGUUGUUGGAAUU
rnacentral:lncRNA from 1 species